rnacentral:lncRNA from 1 species
ACGGUCACAACACAGAGCCCGGACGUCAAGUCUCUACACUUCUCACCACUUCCCGGUUUGCCACUGGAGGGAGGCAAGCUGGGCGAGCGCGUCUUGUGGAGUAAGCUGGGUGGCUUGCGGCGGUGACAACCCCACGGGAAGAAGGUGGGAGGGCGCGGUACCCUCAGGGAGGCAGCGCGAGACCUCGGCCUGAUUGUUCCCCUUGCUGCCACCAGGUGGCGCGCCUGGACCGCCGCUCGCGGCUGUUUGGUGGUGGGCGGGGGAGGCCCUAGCUCGCCGGUCGCCUUGGAAACGGAGGGCGCCGCGGCGACGGCUGUGGAGUGAGUGGGACAUGUCCGCCCGCCUGACGCGAGUACUACUUCCGGACCCAUUACUGUGUAUCCGCACCUGGAAGCCGUCGAGGGGAGGUCAGAAGGCUGCCUAGCCUCCUCGCUCGGCCCCGAGUCCUUCCAGUCUGACACUUAAGACUUUACGAGCAUCUCCGACCCACCCCAACAGCCCUGCUGCUUACUCUGCCGCAAAAUGGUCCUGGGGUCCCAACCUUCUGGGGUCCCGCGCCGGGCAAAAUUCUGGGCGGUUAGGAGCCGGUGAGAAGGAUUCUCAUAGGCCGACCCUUCCUUUUCACCCAGGGGACACAGAGGGAGGAAGAACUUUUGAUCUGAUCGGAAUAUUAACCCAUCUCUUUUUCCGCCUUGCAGUAGAACCCCUGGAUACAUUGCUUAUUUGCCUUUCUAGAUUUUCAGAUCUGAAUUUGAUUCAGGUUUGCCCUCACAGUCUCUAGCACACAGUAGGUGCUCAGUAAACUAAUGCCUUCCAUUUGUAUGGGGCUUUAUCACUUGACAAUUUUCCAAAGCAUUAGAGCCUCGUUAAUAACUCCGACAGGAAGUAGGAAAGAUGGAAGAGAAACUGAGGGUUAGAGGGGGUUAGAGACCUGUCCGAGGUUAUAAAACUCCCUGGUGGAGGAGCUAGGUCUAGACUCAUCUUCUCACUGAAUUCCCAGUCUGGUGAAUGCCUUUAGAAUGAGUACCCCGCAAACCCUGGAACCCUUCUCCGUACCAGCACAGAACCCCUCCCACUGCAGGUACCUUAUAAGUGCUCCGUGUGGGCUUGAUGGCGUUUCACCCUCAUCCACCCAAUCCAUAGGCUGGUUUCAGCUUUUUGCCCUGGAUGCUGGCAGCAUCCUUCUAAACAGGACACUUGGUUUCUUUCUUUUAUUAACUUGUUAGAUUUAUAUAGCGGCCUAUUUGUUUCCUCAUUCCCCUUCUUACCCCAUAAUGCUCUGCUGGGCAGAGAGACUUGAUGAAACCGUUGGGAGGUGGGAGGAGAUGUCCCAUCUGAGAGGGAAGAAAGGGUUUCUGUGAAGGCAGAGAAGGAAGAUAAUAAGACUGGGUGUUUAUCAGUGUGUGUAAUAAUUGCUCAUGGAUUUCCUUUCCACCAGCCCCAAGAUCCAGCCCCAGUUGGUCAUCUUUAUUCACCGCUGCUCUUUGAAGGAGAGAAGGCUUUUUGUUCUCCUCCACCAUCAGAGUGUAAAGGUACUGCAUGUCUUUCCAUUAUCCUUACAAUAUUCUCUUCACAGUUAUGUUUCUUUUGUUUUUUGACACUUCUAAAAUUGAAGGACAGUAGGAGUUGAAAAAAGUGUAGUUCCGGUUGCUAGAAAAGUUAGUGUAAUAUACUGCGUUUCCAACUAUUUGUUAUUAGCAAUUCUGGAUCAAGACACCAAUUUUUAAGCUAAGAAUCCAAUAUAAUUUGAGAUCUGUAGUUCAAAAAUGUGCCACUAACCAAAGGAUUUGUAUUGGUAAAGAAAAUACAUGCUAAUGUAAUGCACAUUGUCAGUCAUGCAAGUGAAAGUUGAAAAUGUCAUCCAUCUAGAUAUUUUUAAAUACCUUGAUUUGAAUGUAUAGUUAUUUAUCAUAUCUCAAAACUGGCUCUGUCUUACAUUUUAAAGCUGUUUGGGGCUAUAUAUACAUAAUCUAUACAAAAAGAGAUGGGUCUGAAAUUUUGUAAAACUAACUGUUAGGUGAUAUCACUACUAAGAGGCUUUAAAUGCAUUCAGGGUUUUUUUGUUUGUUUUUUUUAACACGUGCUGGAGAGCAUUUCUAAAAUAUUUUCAAUUGUAUUGAAAAUGUGUUCUAGCCGAAUUGAGAAUUUGAGUUUAAAAGUUAUUUUACUUUUCAAAUUCAGGGUAUAUACAAUGUCAUGAGCAAAUAAAUAGGGCCACUAGGAAAGAAAGUGAGCAUGCAUUAUUUAUUUGCCAGUCAGUCAUUUACAUCAGACAUUUAUUGAACAUCUAGUUUGUGCCCAUGGGAGAUGCUGACCUAUGUGCCAACAUCUGUGUUUGAAUUCCCAAAGAUAUGAGUUGCUGAAGUAGUUACUAUUCAGUAUUUAAGGAGUUAUGUUUUGCUGAAGAUGAGUGCCUUGAUAGUUAGACGUGUGCCUAUUAAGUUUGCUCUUUAACAAAGGCUCUUGGAAGUACUUCAUUAUUAUUGUUGUUGUUGUUAGAUUUACAUAAUGUUAUAGCUUGUUAAUGGUAAAGCCAUGAAUAAACUUUAAGACUUCCGGCACCCAUAUAGAGACCUUUUAACUAAAUUGUGCUGUCAACCCCUGAUGGAAUCUUAUUCAGAACUUUUGUCAUUACUAAUGCUAUUAAGUAAACAUCUUCCAUUUUAAUCUACAUUUAUAUAAAACAUUAGCUAAAAAACAGGAUCCAUUUCAAACGUCUGGAAAGGUAUGAGGGCAGAAUUGCCACCCCUCCCAGCCUCCACAAGAUUUGAAAGGAGUCGUUAGGAGGCUUCUGGAUAUUCAUGGCUCCACAAAGUCAUGAGAAAAGUCAUUAGGAGCUUUCUAGGUAUUGAGCCAGGAUCCUGAGACUGUGCAGGAAGGGACACACUCCUUGUUUUUUGGGUAAUUUUGCAAAGUCAAGUAAAGCAUUAUGGGAUAACAGCUCAUUUGAAGAAGAUGGCUACUAUAUGUCCCUUUUUACUAAAUAGACUUCUUACUUUUCACUGAGAAGCAUUUGGGGAAUAUUUUUUGAAACAUUUUCUGACAGAAAAUGAUUAUGAAAUAGUCUCUGAAAAGGCUGGAUACCUGAGUCCUUCAAACACCCUCCUCACCUGCCCUCACUAUAUAUAGUGUGUGUUAUUGAUGCCCAAACAGAGUUGGGAGAGGAAAAACAGACACGCACAAAAGGUCAUGCCCUGGGCGAAGAUCUCUCUAGCAUUCAUUACUUGUAUGGUUUUCUCAAGCCUUUUAAAGUUGCUCUUUUUUUUUUUUUUUAGGUUCUGCUGGAGUAUGCUUCUUUCUUCCUAUCAGUCUGAGUAGAGAUCUCACGUCUUCUACAUUUUGUAACCAAGGGCCAGGAAAAUUGCCACACAGAGAACAGGCACUAAAUAGAUGUUUGAAAUUACUGACAAAGCCGAUUAGGUGUCUGUCAGGAAUUAUUUUAAGUGAAAUCUUCCUGGAAGAUAAUUACGUUACUUUGUGACUAUUUUUCUAGAAUUCUCACCUUUUACUGAGAUAGAAAUCCGGGACUUCCCUGGAAAUCCAGUGGUUAAGACUUCGCCUUCCAGUGCAGAGGGUGAGGGUUCAAUCCCUGGUUGGGGAGCUAAGAUCCCACAUGCCUCAGGGCCAGAAAACCAAAACAUAAAACAGAAGCAAGUAACAAAUUCAAUAAAGACUUUAAAAAAAUGGUCCACAUC